CCCUGCCACGUGACCGGGGUUCGGGCCGCCCUGCCGGGGGCGAUGCCCAGUCGGAAGCGGAAGCGGUUUUGGAAUGCAGAGUGCGCGUCCUUCCCAGAUGAGACAACCCUACAGCUGAAAAAAUCAAGUCUCAGGGCAUCAGUGGCUGCAGCUUCCAUUUCCAGUGCGUGGCUUAGGUGUGGGGAUGGCUUUGAAAGUACUUCUAUGCUCGAGUCACUGAGAUCUGCUGAUAAUAAAUCUAAGACUAAGAAGCACCUUGGACCACUCUUAACAACUGCUGAAAGCCCAGUUGGAUCUGCUGCUGAAAGCUCUAAGGAAGUUGAAGACAUAAUUUGGACCUCUAGUGGCAGUGAUUUUUCAGAUAAUGAAAAUAAAACAUCGAUUUCAAGGUUACACAGCAAAAAAAGUCUCACUUGCAAAGCAGAGAAGUCACAGGGCAGGCAUUUUUUGUUAGAGGACAGAAGUGAUGAAGAUGAAUCAGAGUUUAUUGACUGGGGGAAGGAUAGUGAUUCUGCAGAUGAAUGUAAUGAAUCUGAGAAAGAUGACAGCUCACUGGAGAUAUCGGACACUGACUCCUGCACAAAUCUUAAUUCUCUACCUGGCCAAGAGGAGAAUGAUGAGCUUUGUAAGUUGGCAGAAAUUUCUGAAUAUUCAUCUGACAAUGACUAUGUGGAAGAAGUGGACACACAGCCCACUGAUCCAGGAUUCAUUAAGAAAUUGCAGUUGAGUGUGGGAGAAGCUGCAGCAAGACCUGCCAGCGAUUGGCUCAAGUCUGCACAGGCCCUUCUACAAACACCUAAGAAACAGUCAGGCAAGGCCUCAAGAACCCCGGAAGAUUCUGCUAAAAAAAGGAAAUUACUGAGGGGAGGGCUGGCUGAGAGAUUGUGUCGACUGCAGAACAGAGAAAGAUCUGCUAUUAGCUUUUGGAGACAUCAGUGCAUUUCAGAUGCUAAAAUCCCAUCAGAUAAAUCUGGUGUUUUAAUUGUGAAGAUCUUAGAAAUGUUUGAGGAGUGUAUGAUACAAGUUGCCAUCUGCCAGCAGCUGGAAGAGUCUCCUGCUAUCAUUUCAUCCGAAGACCUUGUCAUCAGUACAAGAGAACCGAUAAUCAAAGUCCUUUUUGCAAGAGAGACAGCAGCUCACCUGAAGAGUAGGCCACAGGAUGUCAUCCACAUCUAUCCCCCAUGGCACAUUAAAAAUGAUGCACCUGUAGCUGCCAUUCUUUGGGAAGGAUAUAUAUAUACACAUAGAAAACACUUCCUUUUGGCCAUCCACCUGGAUACAGAAUUGCAAAAACUACUUCUCAAGAAUGCAGAUAUUCCUGUUAUCAUGAAUACAUAUUUCAGUCAGAAGGUAUUACUCAGUGAACACUUAGAAACAAGCAAGACACAGGGUCCUACAAAGAUGCUUAUUAGAAAGAAUAUUGUAUCUUUGUCACAGACAUUCAAACUAGAUGACCUUGACAAGCAACCCCAGGAAUCUUCAAAUGAUCAGGUGGCUUGUACUCCACAAAUCCAUAACACCUGUGAUCCUAAAAAGCAUCACUUAGCACUGGGUGCUGUUAAUGAUUCUCUGCUUGAAAUGGUGGAAAGCCAAGGAGCAGUGGGAUGGAGAGAAGUGCAGGUACGAGUCGUUAUCCAAAGGGUGUACUAUUUGCCUGCAAGAGAAGGUUUCAGAAGCCAGAUUCAAGGAAACAAGCCUGUCUGUGCUACACCCAUCAUAAAUUCAGAUCCACCAAAUGUUAGGUUAUGCCUCCUUGUCCAGGAUGCUUAUGGCAUGUUCAGUGAAGUACAGCUACAGUGUCUGGAUUCUGCAAAAGACCUUGAGCAGUACUGCAAGAGAUGGGAGGGAAAAUUCUGCUGUUUAGCUGGAAUGAAAAUUUUGCAAAGAACGACAAGAGGAAGGGCGUUAGGACUUUUUAGUCUGAUAGACAGUUUGUGGCCUCCAGUAGUGCCUGUAAAAGUUCCUGGACAAAGUCAAGACUCUGAAAUGAUGACAACUAAUCUGCCUCCUCCCAGCUUCUGUUAUGUUCUGACUGUUCAGUCUGGUGAAAUACACAUGGAAGUGGAUGAGGAAGAGACGAUUUCUAAAUUGUACCAGCCACCAACUGUGCAUAAUCUAAAGGAAAUUCUUCAGAUGGGUGGUUGUCAUGAACGUUGUAGCUUUUGGGCACGAGUACUGUAUCUAAGGCCACAGACAAAACACAGUGUUCCUGUAAAUCAAAGAGAGAUGAUGUUGUUUGUGACUGACUUCACUUUGCAAAGUGUAGUUCGUGGAAUUCCAAAAGUUGUUGCUGUGUCAGUCACUGCAUCAUGUGUUCUCAGUACGGAAAUCAUAGAAGCCCUCAAUGUUGCCUCACGAUUCAUCUUCUUCAAGGAUGCCCUGUGGGGAAAUGGUAGGAUUAUUUGUGUUGAACGUACUGUUCUCUUAUUACAAAAGCCUCUUUUGUGCUCGGCUGCUGAUGCUGACCUCAGUGAGCUGCCUGGCCCUGUCAAACUCGAUGAGCUGGAUUCUACCACACAGGCCAAUUCCAUUUGUGCUGUGAGAGGUACUGUUGUUGGAGUUAAUGAGAGCACUGCUUUCUCCUGGCCUACAUGUGACAGAUGUGGCAAUGGAAAGUUGGAACUGUAUCCCCAGGACAGUGGACUGCUGUAUUGCAGCCAGUGCUCUGAAGUUGUCAUUUCACCCGUUAUGAAAAUGCAGCUGGAAGUCUUCUUGAGUUGUCCAUCCCAAUCUCAAAGUACAGUAAAAGUAAAGCUGCUACAAAGAACAAUCUCUUCUCUCCUGAUGUCUGCUGCCAAUGUGGAUGGGGUAGGUAUAGUGGUUGUCGAUGAGAGUUAAACUACAUAGAGUGGCAGAGUCCUGAAGAUGCUGUGAGUCAAAAGGGAAGAUAUUUGAAUCAUAGAAAUGGAAGGGAUGCUGGAGGUUGGCUGGAUGUGGCUCUGGGCAUCCUGGUCUAGAGGUUGGUGACCCUGCCCAUGGCAGGGGGGUUGAAACUAGGUGAUCUUUAUGGUCCUUUUCAACCCAGGCCAUUUUAUGAUUCCGUGGUUGGUGUCUGACCUGCCCCUCACACUGGGCUAUUGCCAACACAUGGUCAGGUCAAUCGUGACUUCGUCUGGCAGGGUCUUGAAGACAUCCAAAGAUAGAGGUCCCACCACCUUUCCAGGCAGCUCUUCUCAGAACUGCACUGAAAGCAGUAGGAGAUUUCGUUAGAAAUAUUUUUCCUCUUCUGUUCAGCCUGGUCCGAGUGGUUUGAAGUGUGUUAGUGUGCUCCUAGCACAAACCUCCCCUUUGGCAAUUGCACCUUGCACCUGCUGAUGCCCUGCUAUUGCAUCUCAGGGGUGCUGCAGGCAGGAUGUGUAGACAGCUUUAGCUUAGAUGUGGAUGCACAGCUACUUGCAAUAGCAGUGUCCAGACAUUCAGAGCUACAGUGGGCAGUGCCAGGCUUUAGAGUCCACGGACAGUGAAGCUACAGUCUGAGCAUUCUACCUUUCCUGGCUUCUGAACCCUAUAAAAACAACCAAGGCACAAACACAAAAUUACUGAGGGGCAGUAAUGCUACAGCAAAUUGCAAAAUGCAUGCAAAGUAAUACUUUGUAAUUGGGAUCUAUAUAAAUGAAAUACACGUAAGUCGCUGGGAUGCAUGGGCUAAAGUGCAGCUUAUGUAACCAUGAAGUAGUUACUCCUUAUUCUGGGCUAUCAGAAGAACCCUGACAUUUGGCACAGUGACCCAGAUUUAUCGCAGGUAAGUGAGGCACUGAAGGCAGGUGUGUGGCUGCCAUUGGCUGCCAGCUGAUCAGUAGAGAAGGAGCGGCACCUUCAGAAAGUGAUAAAGUGCUGGUAGGAGCUGGAGACCCCUCUUCCCAUUGCACGUGGAAGGGGGCAAGGGUCAGCUUGUCUUUUUGGUUAAUCAUCCUCGCAGGUGCUCUGGCUCUCAGGCAGCCUACCUGAGACCAUAAUCAGGAAUAAGAUACUCAGAAAAGACAGCUGAAGAAGAACAUCUGCUUCUAGACACUGUCGUAAAGAGGUGAGCAAACUUGUGGAAGCAUUCCUGUACUCUACUAGCAUUUUAUUAGCACUAAAGUCCUCCUGCAGAACAUCUCAUGUUAGGCAAAGCAGUCUAACACACGAGCAAAAAAUAGGUCUAGGCAGCAUACUAUAAAAGUAGAUUACUUUUUCUUGGCUGUCCUACAAUUGUGUGUAUGUAUGCAUGGUCUGUAUACUUUACAUGCAGUUGUCCUAAAACUUACUUGUACAUAGCAGCGUAUCGAGAUAAGCCUUGUGCCUUCCCACCCAUUUUGGACAGCCAAUCAUUAUAGGCAGCACGAGGUCCUUUUCGGCUGUGGAUAUAGGAAGGAAAAAAAGCAAAAAUGAUAAGGUUGAUUUCUCUGCAUUAUCUUACCAAUUCUGUACCUGAAUAUCUGCAGAUUGAGCGUGUACUGCUACAAGCCAGGGGAUAUAGCAUGGGAACUGUAACCUGUAUUAAUUCUAUCCUUGCUAUGAAAAUGAUGCACAUGCAGUCAGUGCACGUGUUGAUCCAUCCAUCUCUUUCCCCACAGGUUCUAAAUGCAUUUCAGUCAUAUUUAAUGGAAGAUUAGGCAUUAAUGUCUCAAAGACAUCGAUUUCCAACAGGUGCCCUAAAAAUCAGAAGCUGCCUUGAGAACAAAGACCUAAAAUAACCUCUCCAGGGAAGAAAAAAUGUUUUUUCCAUGAUGUCUUAUCCACCUGAGAGGCAUUAUGCUGCCUGCCCCAUAACACUGUUUUUUGUCCAUCCAAGCAGAUAAGGAGUGCAGAAGGCAGUCUGUUAUCUUUUCAGCAUGUACAGGAGGGAAGGAAAGGGAACUUGGAGGACUUAAGUAUUAAUCCAGACUUCAUUAGUUACACUACCUACAACUUUUUUUUCCCCUCUCAUCUUAUCUGCAUACAUUAUUAUGCUAGCCAUUAAACUGCUGUAGAACUGGUCUGUUUUACAGAAACAGCAACUGAGUUGAACAGCCAUCUGUUCUCCCUCCAGAACAAUAAGGUUGAACUAGAUGAGCUCAGUAGUCUUUUCCAACCAUCAGCCCAUCACCAUCAUGCCCACUAAACCUGCUAGCCAUAUUCUGAGGUAUAGAGAUCCUUUUCAUUUAAGAAAUAUUUGUCAUUUAUAGACUGAGUAGCCCAUCACUAUGGACAAAAGACUUGAAAACUUCAGGCAUUUAUUCACCCUCGCUCCAACUGAAAUACUGCCUGUAAGAAUUUCAGAGUCCUCCUUUAGGAGUGCUGCUGUUCAUCCACAGCUCAGUGCAAGUGUCCUAACUGAUUCAGCUGAAGAGUUUCAAGUCCAUUCACAAUAACAAAACUCUGUGUGUGAUAAAUCAUCAACUGUUUUUAGAAAGAUACGGAUAAUCUACAUUUAGAGUAUUAGAAACCUCCCCUCAUGAGAAGCUUCCAAGCAAGUCCUCUUCCUCUUUCAGUAAUUGAAGUGGGAUCAACAUUAACGCUGUUGCUCACUGAAACAAACUAGAUACCAGUGAUGAGGGAACUGUAGUCAUUCCUAAAGGCUCAGUCAAAAAUCAACUGUAGAAACAAAGGCUCUUUGCAGUCCAACCUGCACACUGGAACUUCCUCCAGUAAGAAGGAGAACUAGUAAAAAUAAUUGAUGACAACUCUUGGACAGGCCCAAACAGAGAGCAUGCACUAAGGAAAGAAGUCAGUAAAUGAAACCACGUUUCUAAAUUCCAGGACAGAAAUUGAAUAUAUAGAAACUUCCAGGCUGACAUGCUAAAAUCAACCCAUUUUACAAAUAUUCAUCCCUUGAUUACAAGGAGACAUAAAGCUCACUUAUUCACAUCCAGCCUUUGUACACAGCCAGAGACAAUGUUCUUUCACAGCUGUGUUUUGCAUAUCUGCCAAUUUCCUCCAUCCUGGACUCACUGCUGAAUGCAGCCUCUGAACAGGUCUGUCUCUGCUCCCCCAUCUCCUCUCCUCCCCUUUGCUGACCGACGUCCAUUUCCUGCCCGAUCAAAUCAGGAGAUCAAAAUCCUUCGCUUGUAAAAAAUCAAUCUGCUGAUAAGGAAAUGGUGAUGAUAACGACGUCACACACGAUUAUAAGCCUCUUGUUUAAACAAGCUGGGUGGAGGAUAUUCCAGGUACAGCGGUACUCAUUAAACAAACAGUUGCUAAUUACUAAUUUGGGUCAGGAAGUACAGAGUGCCUCCUUGCUUAUAGGUACUUUUUUUUCUUUUCUUUAAAUAAAGGAAACAAGAGGCCACAAGAUGGUCAGUAUCACAAUGAAUCCAUUAGCAGGAAUCCCUUUAGAAGAGACAGCAAAGCCAAACAUCACCUGUUAUAGUUGGUGUCUUCCUCUUCAGUCAUGCUGUUCCUCAGGAAUUCUUUCAAAGUACAGGUAUUUUCCAGCCACUUGAUGAGUCCCAGCCUGGAACAAAAGUAAUCAGAGACAUGAACAAGUAGCUUAGAGUCAGAACAACACAGAAUUGGAAGCAAUGCAUUCUAGUGUCUGCUAAAAGACCGAAGAAAGCUGCCAAUUUAAAUAUACUCUGAGAUACAGUUUCCAGACAAAGCAGUUUCAAAAGGAAAAAAAUAAAUACAAAAGCAAGCCAAGACCCAAAACACUCCUGAACCAGAAUCUGGCACACAAAGACCGUACUUUCCAACAUUGCAACAACAGAUGUUAUUAUAAGAAUUUCUGCCCCUUCAAGAUAAAAUCCUACCUUGUGGUCAUGGGGAUGACCUGGUAAGUUUUCAACUGCAUAUUCCUUUGGCUGCAGGCAGCGUCUCGGGAAAGGACGAUGUUCAUGACAUCAAACAGCUGCUCAACGCGUUGGUCUUGUCGCAGGUCUUCUCCACCUUUGACAAGAAAAGGAUGCUCCUGCUCAUCGCUGCCUCGGAUUGUUAUGCGCUUGGGUUUCCUCAAGGAUUCCAAUACCAUUAUCUUGGAAGACAGGAAAAAACAAGUAUUUGUGACACAAGAUUUGGUCUGACAGAAUCACUACUGAAAUUAAGCCUCUCUGGCGUUCCCAGAUGGCACAAUGAAGUUGCUCAAUUACUACUCAAAGACUGAAGAAAGUUCUGCAAAACAGCAUUUAAGUGCUCCUCGAUGUGUACACAGCAACCACCUUUCUAUUGUCAAAUUCUGCAGACCGAAUAGGGCCACAGGUGCACAACACCAGAACUGGAACUCAAGCUCACCAACAUACCCGUUCAUCAAACCCAGAGAUCUUCACAUGGUACUCUGGCAGAGGUUUUCCCUUCCCAUCGUACUGACCUGUGGGGGGGUGGGGAUGAGGAAAGGAAAAAUUGACACGGUUUGAUUUUCAAUAUUAACAGCAGUAUUUUUUAAAGUGUGUUUAAUAAUAGAAAAAAACUCUUCUAAAUAUUUU